rnacentral:lncRNA from 1 species
CCAAAAACACGUUUAAGGGAGUUUACAAUUCCGCAGGUAUGAAUAUUUUGUUUGACUACUUUUCAAGAACUAAUUGCCCAUUUUCUAUCAGUACUUCUCAUGCUUAUGAAUUUGUGGCAGGUUUUUCAGUUCCAGUUUCUGGAGCAACUCACUUUGUCAGAAGAUUGUAUUUGAUUGUUUCCAUAUUUUAUAUCUCCACGCCUAUUCACGAUGGGAAGCUCACAUUCCAGUUUUUCUGGGAGGAUAAAGAUAUAUGGCUCUAGCCCGGUGCUGAGUGCAGCCUACAUACUUGUUAAGUAAAGAUCCU